UACGAGGACGCCAUUUUGGAGCCGAAAUUUGAAGUUAUGUUGUGCAGCUUUUUACAUCACAAGUCAUGUCUUCACAACUUAAUUAUAAACAUAUUUAUUGUAUUCUGUUGACCCUUUAUUAACUUUACUCGGUCAGCAUGUUGUGGAUUUUUUCAGAAUUUUACAAUUUAGUCUGUUAUUGUUUGAUUGACUUCGUAAUUUUCAUUUUUGUUGAUGUCUUUGUGAAGCUGCAAUUAAAAGAUGCAUCAAAUGAAGAGAAAAGGCGGAUCUGGUUGGUUGAGUCAGCUUGCCUGCUGGUCAUCUGUUUCCUGUGCUACUUCCAUCACAUUCCAUACCUGUUGGGUCCACUUACCGCUGUAACAUUUGCUUACACACAGCUUUGUGGACGGGUUGAUCUGAGACAGUUGUGGAACGGUGUGCAGACGCGAUGGGAUGAGUACAAGCAGCACGAAGAGAGCAUGGGACACAUUCGGGAGCAGCUGUUGCGGCAGCGGCAGGCGAACACCCUCCCUCCGCCCAAUGUGAAUUACCCCCAUUUCUACCAGCAGGUGUCGCCGGGGAGCGUCUUGCAGCCGUUGACAAAUAACAGUAACUACUCCGUAAGUCCAAAACCCAUUCACAGUAACAGUGGGUGGUUUUUCUCAUUGCCAGGUAAAUCGAUCGGUGAGCGAGGGCCAAAGAUCGAUCACCUGAUUCCCGAUCAGAGGCAGCACGAAGGCAUGUUUGUGUCUCAAAAACAUGCUCGCGGAAUGCUGGUUAGGAAUCCCGAGGAAAACUUUCAUCAAACUUUGACAAAACCCCUCGGUUUUGGCGGGGAGAGGUUAACAAGACGACCUCUCCGACAGGAAAACACUACCGCCAUCACGCACAUUUCGAAACCUCAGUCCCUGCUACCCUCUGCGUCGGUAGCAGCCUCGUCGAAACCGUCGAUAAAGACCAAGUUCAUGACCGCCUUCGGCAUGAACGCCCCGACGAACCUGCCUCCAGGUCUGCGGAACAACGGCAUGAAUCUGUGCUUCAUGAACGCGGUCCUCCAGUCCUUGGCCAGGACUCCCCACCUGGUGUCCUGUCUGAUGGUCGACUCGCGCCGAGACGAGCUGCAGUGUGGGGUAGCCGAGAGCGUCCUCCUGUCCACGCUUGCCGAAGUGCUACACCAGUGCAGCUUGCCCCCGGGUCAGAGCAGUGUGGGCGUCCUUGACCCCACGUCGUUCAGACAGGCUGCCUCGACACUGAACAGCAGUCUGUUCGCACCGAUGGGUAAGCUGCAGGAUCAGCAGGAUGCGGCCGAGUUCCUCAUGUGGUUGCUAGACAAAGUGCACACCGUGCUCAAUAACAACAAAAAAGCAAGGCAAAAUGAUAAGGUUUCUCGGCAGCGAGGAGAGGAGGGGUUUCCCACAUCCACAUUUUCAGUUUUAAAGUUUAUCUAUGGCGAUCUCAAUCACACACACCUUAAGGAUCUAAAAGAUGCCUGCAGGAAAGAGAUUAAAAGUGCUAAUGGGCUGGAGAAUGAUUCUUAUGCGGAGCCAAUUCAGAGGCUUUCUGAUUUGGAGUGGUUAACUCACAAACAGAACAAUGAAUCGAUAAUCGACGACCUCUUCACUGGGCAGCUUGUCGAGGCCUACCACUGCCUCUCCAACAACAAUAUAUCGGUGAACCUGCAGGCAUUCAACGUUCUGCCCGUGCCGAUAGCGGCCCCUCGAGAGCUGUCCGGUGUGGGGUACCUCGAGGACUGCUUCACGACGUUCUGCCACAUAGAGCACGUCUUCGGACACAACGGAAUCCUCAGGGAUCAGGCGGAAGACACUGCCACUGUGAACAAGAAACGAAAAAGGACUAUCAAUCCCGUUGACCAGAGCACCCCGAAAAUGCGCAUGUUGACGAGAUCGUCAAAAUCUUCGUUGACGGCCGACACCACCUUACUGAACCAGUUCAUGUCUCCGAUACCCAGUGCACCGGACAUAGACGACAGUGGGUUUCACGAUCACCUGUUCAAAACGUCGACACCGGUACUCGACGCGACGACCACGGGGGUCGGGAACAUUGUCAAUCGGCAGCAAGGAGAGAUUGAGCGAAGGUGCCUUCUGAGACAAUUGCCUGAGUGUCUGAUUAUUCAGCUGAUGAGGUUUUCCUUCAACCAGCAGGUGGGGAAGACGAGGAAGAUCAAGAACCCGGAUAUUACACCAUGUUGUGGUUACCGGUUCUUGUGCUGAUUCUUGCCUUGUCUACCUUCACGAUGGGCCACACCCAUAGCCGUGGAUUUUCAGUGGAGGAGGAUCCAGUGAUUGUAAGAAAAGUGGCGAAUUCUGCAAAGGCAGUCGGUGCUGUUCUUUGCUCGAGUGUAAGCGAGGACCUGAGAAUGGACCCUUGAGGUGCGAGCUCGUGCCCAGGGGAUAACAAUCUCUUGGUGGAAAUAUUGCCAGCAAUUAUAACAGGCAGCUUGUCUUUGUGUGCAUUGUAUCAGAUAUGAAUAGCAAAUAAAGUUUACACAGCAA
rnacentral:misc_RNA from 1 species